CCUACGGGAGGCAGCAGUGGGGAAUAUUGCACAAUGGGGGAAACCCUGAUGCAGCGACGCCGCGUGAAGGAAGAAGUAUUUCGGUAUGUAAACUUCUAUCAGCAGGGAAGAAAAUGACGGUACCUGACUCAGAAGCCCCGGCUAACUACGUGCACGCAGCCGCGGUAAUACGUAGGGGGCACGCGUUAUCCGGAUUUACUGGGUGUAAGGGGAGCGUAGGCGGUGAUGCAAGUCAGAAGUGAAAGCCCGCAGCUAAACUGCUGGACUGCUUUUGAAACUGUAUGACUGGAUUGCAGGCGAGGUAAGUGGAAUUCCUAGUGUAGCGGUGAAAUGCGUAGAUAUUAGGAGGAACACCAGUGGCGAAGGCGGCUUACUGGACUGUAAAUGACGCUGAGGCUCGAAAGCGUGGGGAGCAAACAGGAUUAGAUACCCUGGUAGUC
rnacentral:rRNA from 1 species